rnacentral:rRNA from 1 species
AAAGGAAUAGACGGGGACCUACACAAGCGGUGGAUCACGUGGCUUAAUUCGACAGUAAGCGAGGAACCUUACCAGGGCUUGACAGGCUAAUGAAAGCUAUAAGAAAUUAUAGCCCACCCACAAGGACAUUAGCCCAGGUGCUGCAUGGUUGUCGUCAGCAGGUGGCUUGAGUUGCUCCCUUAAAUGGGGUAACCUGCGCAACCCUUGUCCUAUGUUUCAUGUGUCAUAGGAGACUGCCCGGGACAACCGGGAGGAAGGUGAGGAUGACGCCAAAUCAGCAUGGCCCUUUGACGCCCUGGGCUGCACACGUGGUACAAUGGGACCGACAAUGGGAAGCCAAAGAGUAAUCUGGAGCAAAUCCUAUCAAACGGUCUCUCAAUUCGGAUUGAGGUCUGAAACCCGACCUCAUGAAGCCGGAAUCGCUAGUAACCGCAGAUCAGCCACGCUGCGGUGAAUAUGUCCCUGGGUCUUGUACACACCGCCCGU